rnacentral:lncRNA from 1 species
GGCUUAUAUUUCUAUAUAUCAUGUUAUUUCAAUAUAUACAUAUACAAUUUUAGUAUGGCAAAUGAUCUAUCAAAUUAUUUUAUAGGCGAUUCCAUACCAGUAUACAGUUUUAGAAAGUAAAAUGAGCUAAAUUAUUAUUUCUUGUACUACUUAUCCAUUUUGAUGCUACUUACCAAACGUGCACUACAAUAUCAACGUAACCACCAUCUGCAGCUAUUGCUUGAUCUAACAACACAGAAUUCAAACAUUAAAACUUCUUGAUCAUGGACCUCAGCAGCCAUUUUAGGAAUCUUCAAGUAAUUCCUACAUAAAGGGCAUGUACUGUGCCCAUAUCCAACCCACCUAUCUAAACAAACUCUGUGAAAAACGUGUUUGCAAUAUUUCAGCUCUCUAACUUCAUCUUGUUCAUCAAUAUUGCACAAGCAAAUUGCACAUUCCACUACAUUCAUAGAUUGACUUAUAUUUCGUGGUCCAAUACGCGUUCUGCUGAAUUCAUCCAGAUCUUGCAGCAUGUUGAUACUGAGAUACUGUUGAAAGAAGGAUUGGUGAAGAAGGAAAUCCCAAGCCCAUUUCAACUGGGAGAUUAUUUGACAAGUUGUUCGGAAAAUAAGUGAUUGAUGAAGGCUUUGGAACAUGUUUCUGGUAGUGGAAAUGAAGAUUGCUAAAGGAGGAAGAAUAUAAAGAGCUGAGGGUAUUUGCAUUUUUUG